GAAAGGUUUUCGGAUGGACUAUGAUUCUUAGUGCCUUAUUUUCCAGAUGAAUCUCCCAGAAAUGAUUUGCUAGUGUUACAGUGUCUAAGGAAUGGGAAAGAAAUACUGGAAGAAAGUAGCGUGUCCUUGGAUUUGGUCCAAGACACUCCCACCCCCACCCCAGUUUUGGUGAUUGAAACUAGGGUCUCACUCAUCCUAGGCAAGCCUUUACCGUGGAGCUACAUCCUCAGACCAAUGGCACAAACUUACAUCAAUUAAUCUUUAUACACUGGUUUUCUUUUUAAUUGUUGUGGUGCUAGGGCUGGAACUCAGGGCCUCACACCUUGCUAGGCAAGUGUUGUGCCCCUGUGCUACAUUCUCCAAUCUUUAUAUACCAACAUACUUCACUUGCGUUGUGGUCAUGUUGCUUUUGCUGGGCACUUGAAGAACACAGUAUGUAUAUAACAGAGCAGUGAAAGAUAGGUUUAUAUUCUUUCAGACAAUCCCUUAAGCCUUAGCUCUUACCAGGAUGAUAGCUCUUACCAGAAUGAAGCAGUGGGUGGAGGAUUAAAAUAUCAAAGGUACCUUGGGUCAUGAACUUAAUUUGUUCUACCAUUCUGGAAAAGAUGCCACGUUUGUAUUUGUGUGGGAAAGUUUGCAAACAAAAACAAAAUUUUGCCAAACAUUUCUGUUUGCGAACUAAAUUGCAAACAAAAGUGUUCAUGAACUGAG
rnacentral:lncRNA from 1 species